GUUGUAAUAUGUUUUUUUUUUCUCUCUCUCUUUUCCUUUUUUUUUUUCUAUUUUACUUUAUUUUAACUCUUAAGUUUGUUUUUGUUAGUGAUUAAUUAAUAAUCAAAAGGGAGAAUUGUAAUUGUAAUUUUAAUGUCUUUGUUAAGAAUUGCUUGAGGUGCCCCUCACAACAGACUUUCCAAUCAACAUAUCAGUUAAUCAGCAUGUCUAGACAUCAACAGACAACAUCCUGCAGGAUGCUUCAGGUGUCACCACCACCCCAGGGGGGUGAAGUAACAGUCCCCACAGACAACAAAAGGUGCCAACACCUAAGCCCCAUUCCUUGCCCUCUGGGAGGCGGUCCUAAGGUAUAAUUAUUCUGUAUUCCCCUAGAUUCGGGGUCUUUUCUGAUCUACCCGCUCGGAUCCAGAUCGACCUUUUCUUUGCAAAGAAAAUAAAACCUUGUCG